UCCCUGGUGGUCCAGUGGUUAGGGCUUGGCACUUUCACUGCUGAGGGCCCAGGUUCGAUCCCUGGUUAGGGAA